AACGAACGCUGGCGGCAUGCCUAACGCAUGCAAGUCGAACGAGACCUUCGGGUGUAGUGGCGCACGGGUGCGUCACGCGUGGGAACCUGCACUUAGGUUCGGAAUACCUCCCCGAAAGGGGUGCUAAUACCGGAUAAUGUCUUCGGACCAAAGAUUUAUCGCCUUUGGAUGGGCCCGCGUUGGAUUAGCUAGUUGGUAGGGUAAAAGCCUACCAGGGGGUCGAUCCAUAGCUGGUCUGAGAGGAAGGUCCGCCACACUGGGACGAAGAAACGGCCCGGACUCCUACGGAAUGGAGCAGAGGGUAAUAUAGGAAAACGGGCGGAGGGCUGAUCGAGUAAGGCCGGGAGAGUGAUGUAGUCGGUAGGGAAGUAAAGCUCGUUUACCCGCGAUUAUAAUGACGGUACCGAGAGAAUAAGCACCGGCUAACUCCGUG
rnacentral:rRNA from 1 species